CCUACGGGAGGCAGCAGUGAGGAAUAUUGGUCAAUGGACGAGAGUCUGAACCAGCCAAGUAGCGUGAAGGAUGACUGCCCUAUGGGUUGUAAACUUCUUUUAUAUGGGAAUAAAGUGUUCCACGUGUGGGAUUUUGUAUGUACCAUAUGAAUAAGGAUCGGCUAACUCCGUGCCAGCAGCCGCGGUAAUACGGAGGAUCCGAGCGUUAUCCGGAUUUAUUGGGUUUAAAGGGAGCGUAGGUGGAUUGUUAAGUCAGUUGUGAAAGUUUGCGGCUCAACCGUAAAAUUGCAGUUGAAACUGGCAGUCUUGAGUACAGUAGAGGUGGGCGGAAUUCGUGGUGUAGCGGUGAAAUGCUUAGAUAUCACGAAGAACUCCGAUUGCGAAGGCAGUUCACUGGACUGCAACUGACACUGAGGCUCGAAAGUGUGGGUAUCAAACAGGAUUAGAUACCCGAGUAGUC
rnacentral:rRNA from 1 species